rnacentral:rRNA from 1 species
GAUGAACGCUGGCGGCGUGCCUAAUACAUGCAAGUCGAGCGAACAGACGAGGAGCUUGCUCCUCUGACGUUAGCGGCGGACGGGUGAGUCACACGUGGAUAACCUACCUAUCAGACUGGGAUAACUUCGGGAAACCGGAGCUAAUACCGGAUAAUAUAUUGAACCUCAUGGUGCAAUCGUUGAAUAAGGUUUUGCUGUCGCUUAUAGAUUGAUCCGGGUCGCAUUAGCUAGUUGGUAAGGUAACGGCUUACCAAGGCAACGAGGGUUAGCCGACCUGAGAGGGACAGCGGACACACUGGAUGAGAGACAGGGUCGACACACUUACGGGAGGAAGCAGUAGGGACUCUUACGCGAUGGGGGAGAGCCUGAUGGAGCAACGCGGGGGGAGUGAUGAAGGACUUCGGAUCGUAAAACUCUGUUAUUAGUGAAGAACAAAUGUGUAAGUAACUAUGCACGUAUUGACGGUACCUAAUCAGAAAGCCACGGCUAACUACGUG